GUUUACAGCCAUGUCACCCUGAACAAGCCUGAUCCUGUCUGAUCUCAGAAGCUAAGCAGGGUCGGGCCUGGUUAGUACUUGGAUGGGAGACCACCUAGAAAGACCAGGUGCUGUAGGCA
rnacentral:rRNA from 1 species